rfam:Hordeum vulgare subsp. vulgare, WGS project CAJW01000000 data, contig: morex_contig_81996
GGGCAUUUGGUCUAGUGGUAUGAUUCUCGCUUUGGGUGUGAGAGGUCCCGAGUUCAAUUCUCGGAAUGCCCC